rnacentral:rRNA from 1 species
UACAGAGGUCUCAAGCGUUGUUCGGAUUCAUUGGGCGUAAAGGGUGCGUAGGUGGCGGGGUAAGUCUGGUGUGAAAUCUCGGGGCUCAACCCCGAAACUGCACUGGAUACUGCCUUGCUUGAGUACUGGAGAGGAGAUUGGAAUUUACGGUGUAGCAGUGAAAUGCGUAGAUAUCGUAAGGAAGACCAGUGGCGAAGGCGGGUCUCUGGACAGUUCCUGACGCUGAGGGACGAAAGCUAGGGGAGCAAACGGG